rnacentral:rRNA from 1 species
GACGAACGCUGGCGGCGUGCUUAACACAUGCAAGUCGAACGGAAAGGCCCUGCUUUUGUGGGGUGCUCGAGUGGCGAACGGGUGAGUAACACGUGAGUAACCUGCCCUUGACUUUGGGAUAACUUCAGGAAACUGGGGCUAAUACCGGAUAGGAGCUCCUGCUGCAUGGUGGGGGUUGGAAAGUUUCGGCGGUUGGGGAUGGACUCGCGGCUUAUCAGCUUGUUGGUGGGGUAGUGGCUUACCAAGGCUUUGACGGGUAGCCGGCCUGAGAGGGUGACCGGCGACAUGGGGACUGAGGUACGGCCCAGACCCGUACGGGAGGAAGCGGGGGGGAAUAUUGCAGAGUGGAGGGGGGCGUGAUGCGGCAGCCCCGGGUGGGGAAUGAGGGCCUUGGGGUUAAAAACAGCUUUGGCCGGAAACGAGGCGGGAGGGAGGGUAAUGAAUAAGAAAGCCCCGGCUAACUAGGUG